CGGCUCCGGGGUCAGCGGCCGCCGCCGCGGCGGGACGGGGCUGAGGGGAGGCGAGCAGGGGGCGGGGGGUCCGGCUGUCCGCCCGGCUGUCCGCCUGGAGCAGGAACGCGCUGCUGGAUGUAGAAGGGAAGUAGGUGGUGCCCGCGGAAAAUGCCUCUGAGGGACAAGUGCUGCCAGACUGACCACCAUCACCAUGGGUGCUGUGAGCCAGUGCAUAUGUUGGAACCUGGUGAUCCUCCAUUAUUACAGCAGCCUCUGCAAACAUCAAAAUCCGGUAUUCAACAAAUCAUUGAAUGUUUUCGAUCAGGAACUAAACAACUUAAACAUAUCUUGUUAAAAGAUGUGGACACCAUUUUUGAGUGUAAAUUGUGCCGGAGUCUCUUCAGAGGAUUACCAAAUUUAAUUACUCAUAAAAAGUUUUAUUGUCCUCCAAGUCUCCAGAUGGAUGAUAACCUCCCAGAUAUAAAUGAUAAACAAAGUCAAGCCAUAAAUGACCUCCUGGAAGCAAUCUAUCCAAGGGUAGACAAGCAAGAAUAUAUAAUUAAAUUAGAACCUAUAGAAACUAAUCAGAAUGCUGUAUUUCAGUAUGUAUCAAGGACUGAUAGCCCAGAAGAGAACACAGAAAGUACUAGUACCCCUGAUCAAGCUCCAGUACAGACACAGGAACCUAGCACUGAGCAACCCAAGACUGUUUCAACUCCAGCUCCAGUGGGGGAUACUGUAGAAUCACCUCCUGCUGAUCCUGUUACAAACAAGGUAAUACCUACUCCUGAAGAACAGCCUCCAGCAGUAACUCCUGAGCUGGACUCUUUGGAUAAUUCAGAUUUUGGUCACCAGUUGGUUUGUUGCCUUUGUAGAAAAGAAUUUCAUUCCAGACGCAGUGUACGCCGGCACAUUAGAAAAGUACACAAAAAAAAGAUGGAAGAGCUAAAGAAGUACAUAGAAACAAAAAAGAAACCAAAUCAGUGCUCCACAAAGGGACGAAAUAAGAACGUUCUUGUAACAUUAGGUAGAAGUUGUCCUGUGUGUUAUAAAUCAUUUGCCACAAAAGCCAAUGUAAGGAGGCAUUUUGAUGAAGUUCAUAGAGGAUUAAGAAGGGAUUCCAUUACUCCUGAUAUAGCUACAAAACCUGGGCAACCUUUGUUCUUGGAUACAGUUUCUGCUAAAAAAUCUUUUAAGACCCGAAAACAAAAGUCGUCCUCAAAGGCUGAAUACAAUUUAACUGCGUGCAAAUGCCUUCUGUGCAAGAGAAAAUAUAGUUCACAAAUAAUGCUGAAAAGGCACAUGCAAAUUGUUCACAAGAUAACUCUUUCUGGAAAGAACUCUAAAAGAGAGAAAGGACCCAACAAUACUGCCAAUGGAACAGAAAUAAAACUAAAAGUUGAACCAGCAGAUUCUGUAGAACCUUCACCCCCUUCCAUUGCUCUUUCUCCACAGAAUGAAUUAAAGGGAACAAAUCAUUCAAAUGAGAAAAAAAGCACUCUGUCAGCACAGAAAAAUAAAGUCAAACAGGACCCAGAAAACCCUAAAUCAACCUCUAAAUCAACCACUAAGUCAACCUCUAAACCAACCUCUAAAUCAACCAAUGCAUCUGCUGCAGGUGGCCAGCAAAAAACCAGGAAGCCAAAACUUUCAGCUGGCUUUGACUUCAAGCAACUUUACUGUAAACUCUGUAAACGCCAAUUUACUUCAAAACAGAACUUGACAAAACACAUCGAAUUACACACAGAUGGGAAUAACAUUUAUGUUAAAUACUACAGGUGUCCGCUUUGCUCUUAUGAAACACGUCGCAAGCGCGAUGUGAUAAGGCAUAUAACUGUAGUUCAUAAAAAGUCACCACGUUACCUUGGGAAAAUAACUGCAAGUUUAGAAAUUAGAGCAAUAAAAAAGCCAAUUGAUCUUGUUCUAAAUAAGGUGACAAAAAGAGGCCCUCAGAGGGAUGAAACAAAACAGAUUGGUUCAAAACAGGAUGUCACUUCUAAUUCGCCCAAUAAAAAGUAUGAAGGAGCUGAUGUUGGCAUUGAAGUAAAAGUAACAAAAAACUUUUCUCUUCAUCGAUGCAAUAAAUGUGGGAAAGCGUUUGCCAGAAAAGCUUUUCUAGAACAUCAUAAGAAAACCCAUAAGGCGAAUGUAUCUCAUUCACCUGAAGAAAAUAAAACCAAAGGCAGAAGUACAAGAUCUAAAGCUGUUGUCUGGUGAGGAAAAUAUAGUGUUUUGUCUUUUUUUUUCUCCAAACAAAACAAAAACACCAUAUUUUUCCAUAGAUUUUAUGGUUUAGUGGCUUAAGUACUAUGAUAUAUGUGUGUUUCUUAAUUAUUUUUUUAGCGUUUAGGGAAGAGUUAAUUAUUAAAUUUUUCAUUACAGGAAACUGGAAUAUAAUAUAGAUUAAGGUGUACCAAAUUGACUCUUUAAAUUGUUUUUAAGGCAUCUGCUGUAAUGAAGCUAACAUACGUACGUGUCUAAAAUAGUGUGCUUUAAAUUAUCAGUGCCUUUGUCUGGUUUGAACUUACCCUGGUAAUGAACAGCUCUGUAAUCUAGUUGGAAGAAGUACUAAAAAUACCAAGGUAAAAGCUGUUGACUGAAAAUGUCUCUGUGAUGUAAUUAUCUUUUUUUUUUAAUGUUUCAUGUGUAUUAGGCAAUACACAUGUUCUGCCCACAGAAGGACAUAGAACAUUUUGAUUAAAUGUAGUUUGGACACUUAAUUGUUUUGAUUUAAAAUCAGUUUGAGUUAGGUCCCUCUGAACACUUAAAAUCACCAAAUUAGGAUUUGAUUCUUUUAGUGCUUAUUUACAUAAGCACAAGUUCAGAGACUCUGGCCAUUCAUUUUUUAAAGUGUUUGAGUCUCAUAAAGGUUUUUUGUUUUAAGCCUAAAUAUAUGUAGAGGUCUGGCCAAGAAUUUUCUAAACUUCUGCUUAUAUGGUUCACUGGGACUUGUUUUAUACUUGCGAAUUAUAUUUAUAUUAGUUUUCCAGUGCCUUUAUAUUAAAGAAGGCCUAUUUUUUAAGAGGACCUUUCAAAAAAAGGAAAUAAUAUUUUGUAUUUCAGAGUGAUUGACUCAUGCCUGAAAGUAUGGGGAUUGUAUAAAAAAUUAUAAUGGAGAGACAUUAGUGACGCCUAUAAAGAGGUUUUAAUAUUCUUAUUUAGAAAUAGCCUUAUAACAUAUUUGGUGGAAAAAAUACAAAUAUAUGUGCCUUGUUCUAUAUUUUUACUCUGAAAUGGGAGGUAAUUUGUUUUCAGUUCAGUUUUUGUAGUGUUAGCUAGCCUAAAUGUAAUCUGAUCUGUUCGUGGCUUCAUAGUAAAUUCUGGCCGAAUGGGAUGGAACUGGACCCUGAAUUAUUGUAAUUUUAAGAGGAAGGGUGACUUUUGUAUUUUGAUGAUGAAUUUAAAAUUUAACCUUAUAAAUUAUUUAUCUUCAGUAAUUUCAAACAAUUAUAUUGGUAAACACAAAGCAUUAACUUAUUCCCAUUUCUUCUCAGAUAGGUUCAAGUGAUGUUCGGAAAGUUUGGAGUUCAUUUGCAUGAAAAAGACUUUAAUGUGGUGUUGGAGCCGCUAAUAUCUUGAUAAUGGUACUGUGAGGAGGAAAUAUUUUCAUAAGCUGUUGUUUUCUUAUUAAAUUACAACCAUUCUGACUACUUGUUAGACAGUGCUUCCUCCCAAAACACUGCAGUAGUUGAAAUGCACAUGUGCUUCUAAAUUAGCAGUUAACUAUGCUUAUGUCUAUGCAGUUGAGGUUUGAUACAUGAACUUAAAAAAAAAAUAAUAAUACAGAGGCAACUUAAACAACAGCUUUGGAAGAAGACUUGUUCCUCAUUUAGGAAACCCAUCUUCAGAGAGUUCAUCGUGCAUACUGUUCCUCCCUAAUAGCGCUAACUGAUGAACAGCUCUUAACUAUUUUGUGAUACCUACUUUGGCAAUUGUUGUGUUAUAUACUGUUUUAAAUUUAUUACAAAUGAAUGUAUAAGAGCAAACAAUGUAGUGUAUAUUGGCUGAAUUGUACUAAUUUUUAGUAUUUGCCAUAACAUCAGUUUGUUCAUACUGACUAAUUUCCCAGUUGUGGGACGUUCUGAAUUUCACUGUACUACAGUUGCUUCAAAGAUCUCCGUAUUUUUUCCAUAUGUGGUUCAUAGGACAACUUGGUAAACAUCUAGGAUGUUUACAAGAAUAUCCACAUUCCUCUUGAAUUUUUUAAAAAAGUUUAUACACAAGCACUUUAAUGAUAGUUGCAGUUUAUAUUUUCAGUUUAUUUUUUGAAAGAUCAACACACUAAUGUUAAUAUGAAGGUAGUGAAUAUUUGCUGAUGUAUUAUAGACAGACAAUCUGUGCACAACCACUUAUAAUGUUAGUUUAUUUCUUUAAAUAUUAAUAAAAAGGGAGGAUAGUAUGGGAGAAACUCAAAGUAAUUUUUCUCUCGAAAUGAUGAAUGACCACUAUAGAUAGCACUUGACUUUGUAUAAUUUGGAAAAUGUUUUAGAUCCCUUUUUUUUUUAACCUUUUAAUCAGAAUUUUAGUAAAACUGUUGCAUGCCUGCCAUUAUGGGAUUCUUGGCAGGUUUCAUGCAUCAGUGGUUUUGUUUUGUUAUUUUCUUUAUUUUUAUUUUUUUAUUUUUUUUUUACUUUUUAGAAAAUAUUUUGUUAGUGAUUUGUGUCAAAUUGCUACAAUUUGAAAGGUACUGUACAUCAGAAGAAAUACCAUGUUUUUUAUAUAGGUUCACUCCCUUACUUAGGGAGGUGCCUCGUGUUCAUAUAUACUUUUUGUAUAAAAUAUAUCUAAAAAUGUUGAUCACAAGAUCAGAAGUAAAAAUACUUUUUAUGGAUAGAGAAAUAUUUGGCCCUGUUAGUGCAUUGCACUAAAAAUACUGUGAAUGGGAACUGGACUGUAGCUGUUGCUGGAAAUGUUUUAUAUUGAAUGUACAUGCUUUUGUUUGGAUAAAUGUACUGUAUUUGGUUGAAAAUAAAGCAGACUGGAAAUCA